rfam:Asian citrus Psyllid, Diaphorina citri - Florida Strain, whole genome shotgun sequence.
GCCUCCGUGGCGCAACUGGUUAGCGCGUUCGGCUGUUAACCGAAAGGUUGGUGGUUCGAAUCCACCCGGGGGCG